UACUACAACUAUUUCAAUGACAAUGUAAUAAGUAAUGCUCCUCUUAAAGGAACAUCGAUAUUUCAUCGUCCUGUUAUCAUAUAUAUAUAUCAUAACAGGACGAUGAAUUUCUUCACUUGGUGUAUAUUUCAUAAUCACAAAAAAUGUAUCAGUGCAAUUGCGUAUUAAUUUAAUCGAUGGCGUUUAUUAAUAAAUGUACAGCGUUUGUGUUAAUUCCCUAUUAUAUAUUGUUGGUAAAAAUAUUAAUUGCAUUCAUAUGUAUGUGCACUACAAGAAUUGAAAGUUCAAAUAUUUAGUGGCAGUCAAGUUUUCAUUAAAAAAAUAUGGACCAACAAUCUGGUCAUCUAUUACACCACACCAUACAUUUAUAUUCCACCGUACUUGAUUGUGGCCUUCUAUGAUCCAAUGAGGAUUGGUAUCAUUCCAUAAGUGGGAAUUAUGUCGAUUCGUCACUCCAUUGUUGCUAAAUUUAGCUAAAUCGGUCCAUAAAAUAGAAGAUAAAAAAUUUGGAUUGUCAUCAAGCUUAAUCAACAUAUGACUAAUGAAAUCUAGCCGUCGUACGUAGUCCCAAGGAACUAAAGUUUGUACCACUACGGGCUUGUAUGCGUGAUAUUUAUAUUUUUUUAAAAUGCGGUGUACAUUUCCAAAAGAAUAACCAAACUCCUCUAAAAAUAAUAGAAACUAAUAAUAAGAUAUAUAACUUCAUACUUUAUUUUAUAGAAAUACCUGCUAUAUCUCUUAUUGAUGUAUGAGGAUGGGCAAUUACAUAAGCUAAAAUUAUCAAUGCGUUACUUUCAUCACUUUUAGUAUUUUUUCUUAUUAUUUUUUUUUUUAAUCUACCAUGUUGACUUAUAGAAUUGAACACAUUUAAAAAUGUAUUCGGUGAAGGGCAUAUUCGCUCAUUAAAACGCUGAGCAUACAACCUAAAUUCAUUAAAUUUCAAAUAUGUAAAAUAAUGAAAAAACAAUAAAAAGUCAUACUAACAUUGCUGCAGCUCUCUUAUUUUUUUUGCUCUCAAUAUAGCACGUCAACAUUUCAAUUUUUUCUGAAUUGCUGUACUUCAUUUUUGAAUGUAAUAAUUUUUUAUUGAAUAAAAAAAAUGUUUUUAUAGAAUAUAA